rnacentral:tRNA from 1 species
GGAGGAGCUCAGUGGUAGAGUGAGUGCUAAGCAAGCAUGAGGUCCUGGGUUCAAUCCCCAGUACCUCCA